rnacentral:sRNA from 1 species
AUGGCGCGAAAUCGCCUUCUGCGGACCGCGAUCCGGUUCCUGCGGAACUUCGGCUGAUCCAGAGCAAUUCCAGGAAAAGUGCGCAGCGGUUUUCCGUCCGGAGUUGCGGCAAAACAAAGGAAUCGAUCACGAUGACCUUAGGUCUGGUCAUCGUGAUCCAGGGAAUC